rnacentral:rRNA from 1 species
AACGAACGCUGGCGGCAUGCCUAACACAUGCAAGUCGAACGAGACCUUCGGGUCUAGUGGCGCACGGGUGCGUAACGCGUGGGAACCUGCCUUUAGGUUCGGAAUAACUCAGAGAAAUUUGAGCUAAUGCCGGAUGAUGUCUUCGGACCAAAGAUUUAUCGCCUUUAGAUGGGCCCGCGUUGGAUUAGCUAGUUGGUGGGGUAAAGGCCUACCAAGGCGACGAUCCAUAGCUAGUCUGAGAGGAUGAUCAGCCACACUGGGACUGAGACACGGCCCAGACUCCUACGGGAAGCAGCAGUGGGGAAUAUUGGACAAUGGGCGAAAGCCUGAUCCAGCAAUGCCGCGUGAGUGAUGAAGGCCUUAGGGUUGUAAAGCUCUUUUACCCGAGAUGAUAAUGACAGUAUCGGGAGAAUAAGCUCCGGCUAACUCCGUG